ACUGGGUCUAAUACUGGAUACUACCUCUUACCGCAUGGUGGGUGGUGGAAAGGGUUUUACUGGUUUUGGAUGGGCUCACGGCCUAUCAGCUUGUUGGUGGGGUAAUGGCUCACCAAGGCGACGACGGGUAGCCGGCCUGAGAGGGUGACCGGCCACACUGGGACUGAGACACGGCCCAGACUCCUACGGGAGGCAGCAGUGGGGAAUAUUGCACAAUGGGCGGAAGCCUGAUGCAGCGACGCCGCGUGAGGGAUGACGGCCUUCGGGUUGUAAACCUCUUUCAGUAGGGAAGAAGCGAGAGUGACGGUACCUGCAGAAGAAGCGCCGGCUAACUACGUGCCAGCAGCCGCGGUAAUACGUAGGGCGCAAGCGUUGUCCGGAAUUAUUGGGCGUAAAGAGCUCGUAGGCGGUUUGUCGCGUCUGCUGUGAAAGCCCGGGGCUCAACCCCGGGUCUGCAGUGGGUACGGGCAGACUAGAGUGCAGUAGGGGAGACUGGAAUUCCUGGUGUAGCGGUGAAAUGCGCAGAUAUCAGGAGGAACACCGAUGGCGAAGGCAGGUCUCUGGGCUGUUACUGACGCUGAGGAGCGAAAGCAUGGGGAGCGAACAGGAUUAGAUACCCUGGUAGUCCAUGCCGUAAACGUUGGGCACUAGGUGUGGGGGACAUUCCACGUUUUCCGCGCCGUAGCUAACGCAUUAAGUGCCCCGCCUGGGGAGUACGGCCGCAAGGCUAAAACUCAAAGGAAUUGACGGGGGCCCGCACAAGCGGCGGAGCAUGCGGAUUAAUUCGAUGCAACGCGAAGAACCUUACCAAGGCUUGACAUUCACCGGACCGCCCCAGAGAUGGGGUUUCCCUUCGGGGCUGGUGGACAGGUGGUGCAUGGUUGUCGUCAGCUCGUGUCGUGAGAUGUUGGGUUAAGUCCCGCAACGAGCGCAACCCUCGUUCUAUGUUGCCAGCACGUGAUGGUGGGGACUCAUAGGAGACUGCCGGGGUCAACUCGGAGGAAGGUGGGGAUGACGUCAAAUCAUCAUGCCCCUUAUGUCUUGGGCUUCACGCAUGCUACAAUGGCCGGUACAAAGGGUUGCGAUACUGUGAGGUGGAGCUAAUCCCAAAAAGCCGGUCUCAGUUCGGAUUGAGGUCUGCAACUCGACCUCAUGAAGUCGGAGUCGCUAGUAAUCGCAGAUCAGCAACGCUGCGGUGAAUACGUUCCCGGGCCUUGUACACACCGCCCGUCAAGUCACGAAAGUUGGUAACACCCGAAGCCGGUGGCCUAACCCCUUGUGGGAGGGAGCCGUCGAAGGUGGGACUGGCGAUUGGGACUAAGUCG
rnacentral:rRNA from 1 species